GAUGGACGCUGGCGGCGUGCUUAACACAUGCAAGUCGAACGGUGAAGGCGGAGCUUGCUCUGCUGGAUCAGUGGCGAACGGGUGAGUAACACGUGAGCAAUCUGCCCCUGACUCUGGGAUAAGCGCUGGAAACGGCGUCUAAUACUGGAUACGAGCUGCGAAGGCAUCUUCAGUAGCUGGAAAGAAUUUCGGUCAGGGAUGAGCUCGCGGCCUAUCAGCUUGUUGGUGAGGUAAUGGCUCACCAAGGCGUCGACGGGUAGCCGGCCUGAGAGGGUGACCGGCCACACUGGGACUGAGACACGGCCCAGACUCCUACGGGAGGCAGCAGUGGGGAAUAUUGCACAAUGGGCGAAAGCCUGAUGCAGCAACGCCGCGUGAGGGACGACGGCCUUCGGGUUGUAAACCUCUUUUAGCAGGGAAGAAGCGAAAGUGACGGUACCUGCAGAAAAAGCGCCGGCUAACUACGUG
rnacentral:rRNA from 1 species